rnacentral:rRNA from 1 species
UACGUAGGGUUCAAGCGUUAAUCGGAAUUACUGGGCGUAAAGCGUGCGCAGGCGGUUGUGCAAGACAGAUGUGAAAUCCCCGGGCUUAACCUGGGAAUUGCAUUUGUGACUGCACGGCUAGAGUGUGUCAGAGGGGGGUAGAAUUCCACGUGUAGCAGUGAAAUGCGUAGAUAUGUGGAGGAAUACCGAUGGCGAAGGCAGCCCCCUGGGAUAACACUGGCGCUCAUGCACGAAAGCGUGGGGAGCAAACAGG